GAUGAACGCUGGCGGCGUGCCUAAUACAUGCAAGUCGAGCGAAUGGAUUAAGAGCUUGCUCUUAUGAAGUUAGCGGCGGACGGGUGAGUAACACGUGGGUAACCUGCCCAUAAGACUGGGAUAACUCCGGGAAACCGGGGCUAAUACUGGAUAAUAUUUUGGACUGCAUGGUUCAAAAUUGAAAGGCGGCUUCGGCUGUCACUUAUGCAUGGACCCGCGUCGCAUUAGCUAGUUGGUGAGGUAACGGCUCACCAAGGCAACGAUGCGUAGCCGACCUGAGAGGGUGAUCGGCCACACUGGGACUGAGACACGGCCCAGACUCCUACGGGAGGCAGCAGUAGGGAAUCUUCCGCAAUGGACGAGAGUCUGACGGAGCAACGCCGCGUGAGUGAUGAAGGCUUUCGGGUCGUAAAACUCUGUUGUUAGGGAAGAACAAGUGCUAGUUGAAUAAGCUGGCACCUUGACGGUACCUAACCAGAAAGCCACGGCUAACUACGUGCCAGCCGCCGCGGUAA
rnacentral:rRNA from 1 species